rnacentral:rRNA from 1 species
AUGCAAGUCGAACGGAAAGGCCUGUACUUGUACAGGUACUCGAGUGGCGAACGGGUGAGUAACACGUGGGUGAUCUGCCCUGCACUGUGGGAUAAGCCCGGGAAACUGGGUCUAAUACCAUAUAGGACCACUUCUUGGAUGUUGUGGUGGAAAGCUUUUGCGGUGUGGGAUGAGCCUGCGGCCUAUCAGCUUGUUGGUGGGGUAAUGGCCUACCAAGGCGGCGACGGGUAUCCGGCCUGAGAGGGUGUACGGACACAUUGGGACUGAGAUACGGCCCAGACUCCUACGGGAGGCAGCAGUGGGGAAUAUUGCACAAUGGGCGCAAGCCUGAUGCAGCGACGCCGCGUGGGGGAUGACGGCCUUCGGGUUGUAAACUCCUUUCGCUAUCGACGAAGCCACCUUGGGUGGUGACGGUAGGUAGAUAAGAAGCACCGGCUAACUACGUGCCAGCAGCCGCGGUAAUACGUAGGGUGCAAGCGUUGUCCGGAAUUACUGGGCGUAAAGAGCUCGUAGGUGGUUUGUCGCGUCGUCUGUGAAAUCCCGGGGCUUAACUUCGGGCGUGCAGGCGAUACGGGCAUAACUUGAGUGCUGUAGGGGAGACUGGAAUUCCUGGUGUAGCGGUGAAAUGCGCAGAUAUCAGGAGGAACACCGAUGGCGAAGGCAGGUCUCUGGGCAGUAACUGACGCUGAGGAGCGAAAGCAUGGGUAGCGAACAGGAUUAGAUACCCUGGUAGUCCAUGCCGUAAACGGUGGGCGCUAGGUGUAGGGGGCUUCCACGUCUUCUGUGCCGUAGCUAACGCAUUAAGCGCCCCGCCUGGGGAGUACGGCCGCAAGGCUAAAACUCAAAGGAAUUGACGGGGGGCCCGCACAAGCGGGCGGAGCAUGUGGAUUAAUUCGAUGCAACGCGAAGAACCUUACCUGGGCUUGACAUAUACAGGGAUUGGGCUAGAAGAUAGUUUCGUCCCUUGUUGGUCUGUAUACAAGGUGGGUGCAUGGUUUGUCGUC